UACGGGGGGGCAAGCGUUGUUCGGAAUUACUGGGCGUAAAGGGCUCGUAGGCGGCCAACUAAGUCGGAUGUGAAAUCCCCAGGCUCAACCUGGGAACUGCAUCCGAUACUGGAUGGCUUGAAUUCGGGAGAGGGAUGCAGAAUUCCAGGUGUAGCGGUGAAAUGCGUAGAUAUCUGGAGGAAUACCGGUGGCGAAGGCGGCAUCCUGGACCGACAUUGACGCUGAUGAGCGAAGCUAGGGAGCAACGGG
rnacentral:rRNA from 1 species